rnacentral:rRNA from 1 species
UACGGGGGGGGGCAAGCGUUGUUCGGAAUUACUGGGCGUAAAGGGCUUGUAGGUGGCCAACUAAGUCAGACGUGAAAUCCCUCGGCUUAACCGGGGAACUGCGUCUGAUACUGGAUGGCUUGAGUGUGGGAGAGGGAUGCGGAAUUCCAGGUGUAGCGGUGAAAUGCGUAGAUAUCUGGAGGAAUACCGGUGGCGAAGGCGGCAUCCUGGACCGGCAUUGACGCUGAUGAGCGAAAGCUAGGGGAGCAAACGGGG